CAGCGAACAUAUGUUCCAAGUCUCUCUCAACUCUCGAACGCAGCGGAACAUCGAGCGCACGAACUCGGAACUAUCGCUGAAGCCAAACGCCGCGUGUGAUCGAAAAUCCGAAAAUCCAAGUUAAACAAAAUCGAAGGGAAGCUGCGAGGUAAUUGAACGCCACCCGUUGCCCGCCCCCUCUAGCCACGCCCCGCGGCCGUGUGAUAACAAAGAUAAUGCAAUAAAAGGCAAUUAAAAGCUGCGAGAGAGCCAAGAAACGUGACCCAGGCAAAAUUUGUUUGUUUGUCUGCCUCUGCUUGCUGCAUAUACAUAUACAUAUAAACGUGCGUGAGAUUGUGUGUGUGUGUGAGCAGUCGUCGCGUAGUAGUAGUAGUAACACAGCAAACAACAACAAAUUCGUCUCGCGUUUUUUACAAUAAUAAUUUUGAAAAUUACAAAAUUGUAUCCCUCUUACCCUCUCACUGUCUCUCUCUCUCUCGCACACACACGCACGAAUAUUACCCCCGGCGCGUUUUUCGUCUGUCUCACUCUCGCAAAGGCGGAAGAGUUAAACAAAAAAAAAAGAAAUAUUUUAAAUAAUAAAUAAAAACAAAAACUGCCAUUGUCGCUGCAGAAAAUUUGUGCAUUUUCCAAGUUCUCCACAAUGUCCUCAAAUCUCAUUUAAAUAAGUAAAAAAAAAGUGUAAAAAGCGACGCGAACGAAAGUAAUUGCGUUGAAUAGAAGCACGCCAAACAGCAACAAAUGGCCAACAAUUGAAUGGCGGCCAUCAGUGGCCCAGCGGCAUCCAUUGAGCAAUCAACACCAUUUCUCCCACAUCAAAUCAAGCACCACCACCACCGCCGCCUCCUCAGCCACCACCGCCGUCACCACUUCGGGAACCAGAACCAGAACCACAGUCCCAGUCCAAAACACAAUCCAAACCACCACCGAGGACUAGCCACAUUCACAGCCCAAUUGAACCACAACCACUGAGCCCCAUCGCCAAACAAAUACCAGAAACGGGUGGUGCAGCUGCUCGAAUUAUUUGGAAAACCCGCCGCGUAGUCCCUCAAUGAGCGUUUCGAUGUCACUGGUACAGGGUGGUGCUGCCGGUGGUGCGCCACAAGGCGCCAGCGCAAUCUUGGCCGCAGCGGCUCCCUACUAUCAACCGCCAGCCGUGCCCCAGGACGUCCAGCCGGAUCGUCCCAUCGGCUAUGGAGCAUUCGGAGUUGUCUGGGCUGUCACAGAUCCUCGGGAUGGAAGACGCGUGGCUCUGAAGAAGCUGCCCAAUGUGUUCCAAUCGUUGGUCUCAUCGAAACGCGUUUUUCGCGAGCUGAAAAUGCUCUGCUUCUUCAAGCAUGAGAAUGUUCUCUCUGCUCUGGACAUUCUACAGCCACCGCAUUUGGAUUUCUUUCAAGAAAUCUAUGUGAUAACGGAGCUGCUGCAAUCGGAUCUGCACAAGAUAAUCGUAUCGCCGCAGCACCUGUCCGCCGACCACAUCAAGGUGUUCCUCUACCAGAUCCUGCGCGGCCUCAAGUAUCUGCAUUCGGCCCGCAUCCUGCAUCGCGACAUCAAGCCGGGCAACCUGCUGGUCAAUUCAAAUUGCGUGCUCAAGAUCUGUGAUUUUGGACUGGCCCGCGUGGAGGAGCCGGAUCAGGCCAAGCACAUGACCCAGGAGGUGGUCACCCAGUACUAUCGGGCACCGGAGAUUCUGAUGGGCGCUCGUCACUACUCGUCGGCGGUGGAUGUGUGGUCGGUGGGUUGCAUUUUCGGCGAACUCCUGGGCCGUCGCAUCCUCUUCCAGGCGCAAAACCCGGUGCAGCAGCUGGAGUUGAUCACCGAACUGCUGGGCACACCGACCAUGGAGGACAUGCGGCACGCCUGCGAGGGAGCCCGCACCCAUAUGUUGCGCCGGGCGCCCAAGCCGCCCUCAUUCUCGGUGCUCUACACACUCAGCUCGCAUGCCACGCACGAGGCGGUGCACCUGCUCUGCCAGAUGCUCGUCUUCGAUCCGGACAAGCGCAUUUCUGUGACAGAUGCCCUGGCGCAUCCGUAUCUGGAUGAGGGUCGCCUGCGCUACCAUUCGUGCAUGUGCAAAUGCUGCUUCACUACCUCGGCCGGAAUGCGACAAUAUACGGCUGAUUUCGAGCCCUCCGCCGGCCAGCCCUUCGAUGAUCUAUGGGAACGCAAGCUCACAUCGGUGCAACAGGUCAAGGAGGAGAUGCACAAGUUCAUAGCCGAGCAGCUGCAAACGGGUCGUGUGCCGCUCUGCAUUAAUCCGCAGAGUGCGGCCUUCAAGAGUUUCGCCAGCCAAUGAGAAUGAGAAAAUCUACUACUACUACCACUACCACUACUACCACUACAACUUGCACUGCUGCUCCUGCCGCUGCUCCAAUCCGCCGCCGCCUACUGUUGUUGCGCUGCCCUCGAGAACCGAUCCAGAUCCAGAUCGAGAUCGUUAUCCAGAGAUCCAAGAUACUAGGCGCGCGAGAUCUCCUCUCACUAGAACGAAUCGAUAUACGAUCAAAAAAAACGCAGAAGUCACAAGAUACUAUCCGAAAUCUACCGAAUGAUUGAAGAAUGAAAAUGAUAUAAAUGAAAAUGAAAUAUGCAAGCACAGCCAAGUCAAAAGAUACAAUAAUACAGAUACAGAAAAUGAGGCCUCGGGGCGGCAACUGUCUCUCUACUCCUUCUUAGUUCGACCGUGGCACAUCCUUCGGAGCUGCCGCCCUCGCCUCAUCAAUGGGAAUGACGGCAAAAUGAGGCGAUUGCUGCCUAAAAUCGAAACAAAAGCAACACAGCCAAACGAUAGACCCUCGCCGUCGACAAAAAGGAGGAGAGGAGUCGAUCCCCAGUCCAAAUAGAACCCUCAAAAACCCUCUACAAUCCUCGAAAACCCAACCCAACCCAGAGAUAACUCAGCCAGGAACAACGAUUGAAUAAUUUUUAAGCGCCAAACGGCUUUUAAGUGGGCGUUUGUCUGUUUGAAAGUUAAAGCAUUCCACCACCGAAAUUAACUAAAAAGGAAAACAAACAAAUAUUUAAUAAUACUAUAGACAAACAAAUAUUGUAACGUAACUCAACUGAAACUAGUCUAAACAACAAAACUGUAGUUAAAGCAGCAGCAGCAGCGACACAAAACCAGCAAGUUUAAAGUGAAGGAGAAAUAUUACAAGAAUUAAUAUGAGAGAGAUGAAGCGAAGGAUAUUCUACGCACUAAAAGCAAAGCGUAGCUAAAAAAAUAAUAUUAGUUUUUUGGCAACAAAGCAGACAUAUUUUGUUGUGCUUGACAAGAAUUGGAAGAGUUAAUCGAAAAUUCGAAUUAAAUGCAAAUGCAAAAACCACACAAAAAUGUUUUAUGUUAAGCUCCUAAGAAAUCUAUGUAUAUGUAAAUUAAUUAGCAACACACACACACAGACAUCGUAUUCAUGAUAUACAAAUAUGCUUAACUCUUAAAUAUAUUGAUAUAUAUAUUUAAAAAUAAAAUAGUAACAAAAUGCACACAAAUCCAAAAUUUGUUUGCCAAAAUUUACCUCAAGCGAUAAACCUUUUCAUCCAUUAAAAGGAUAAUUUCAUUUUCUGUAUGCUUACGAAAAAUAUAUUAAACAAAAUGAUGUGUAGCUACAGCUAAAUGUGUACUAAGCGCUAAACAAAAACAAAUUUAUUUGAAAUUAUGCAAAUAUUUUCAUUUACACAAAACGUUUGAAGCUUCAAUUUUGAAACUGGUUUCUAGAUAUGUACUCUUAAAUGCAUCUGACCACAAAAAAGGCGGUCAGGCCUAACUCAAUAUUAGGAAAAAAAAGAUAAAUAUUUGAUGAAAUUAGUUCAAAGUUUCAACUGUCGACUGAACAAAAAUUACAAUAUAAAUUAAUAUAAAUAUAAAUUAAACGAUUUCAACUUAAUUUAGUUAUGACAAUUUUCGCUUUGAUAAUAGUUUGUUAAGCUUUUUAAACAUACUUUUCAUAAUUGUAAACUAACAAAUAAACAAAGGAAAAACCAACAAGUGGACGACGCACUGCCCCCAGUGAAUGGUUCGGGCGGAUCGAACCCAAAUGGACGGAGGGAUCGAUUUCCAUACUCGUCCUUGAAGUCCAAAGGCACCGCCCGGAUCAAUUCGAUUUUAGUUGAUAUUUAUACUUUGCUUUUAGUUGAUUACCAUGUAAUAUAGUUUAAUUUUCGACUAACUACACCUCUGUCUCUCUCAAUGCUCAUCGCUAUAGGCUAUAGCUAAGGUGCAGGACAGGAUCGGUUAUAGAGGAUCAAUUGCUAAGGCCUCGGCUGCCCAGAACAUUAUAUAUGUUUAAGACUGAGUUUUCUCAUUUGACGACGACGAUUGAAUGAUUGAGGAUAUGCAAUAUAAAAUUCACACAAUUCUUUUACUUGAAAGGGUCAAAAUUAAUUUGAUGUAGCUUAAGCACUUAAACGAAAUUAAAAAUGUAUACCGUAUAUGUGUAUUUUGAAUGUCUUUUGUCUUCAAUGUUUAGAGCCAAAACAAUGCAUGAAAAUAUUUAAUCGAAAACAAAACGACGAUGAAGUAGAAAAAGCUCUCGAAGAAGUUAAAACUGAAGCUAAACUAAACUUUCCUCUUCUUCAAUUCUCUUAACUGUGCUGCUUUCUUAUGUAUGUAGUUAUUAAUUAUAUAGCAUUAUAUAUAUUAACCGAUAUAUAUACAUGUAUGGAUUAGCGUAAAAACAAACGAAAACAAAACAAAAAACAAAUAUGAAUUCAAAACUUUCACGGAGAUCUCAUAGCAAAAACAAAACGAAAUGAAAGAAAAGAAAGGCAAAGGAAAUCAGUGUGCAAAAAAAGUAGAAUUUCUUUUCAACUUUUGUUUAUAACUAAAGUUUUUCUUAACCGUAAAUAUAUAGAGUACAGAUUAGAGAUUACCGAUUACCUAUUACUGAUUGUUUUCCCCUCAUUUGACCAGAGACCGACACAGAGACACACUCGAAUGCAAGUUAAAUUGACAACUACAUUAACAUCAUUUACAUGUCUAAGCACCAUACUCCACAUAGAGGUACAUAUAUAAAUAUAUAGCUACGCAUACGGAUAGUUAGUUUUCGGUUCGGUUUAGGCACCGUGUACAUAGCAUUAUCUCCAUACACCCCCACCAAUAAUUAGCCCACAUCUCUCUCUAGCUCAGUAAGACGGUUAGCUAUGCGGUAAUACGAGUAUGAUAAGAAAUGGACAUGUACAUUAUACUACACACAUAGCACAACCCUCAAUUGGAGCAGGUCUGAACUAAAAUAUAAAAUAAAGUAAAUCACACUCGAUAUAUAUAUCGAUCCUAUAUAGGAUGUAUGAUUUGGAAGAGAGCGACUUGGGUCGCCGAAACCUCCCGUUCGAAAUGAGUUCAUUAGUUAAGAUCAACUGUAACUGUAAACUGCAUUAGUAUUUGACUUGUAAACCGAUUUAUGGAUCAUUCUUAACUAUAUAUAUUAGAUACGUAUUAUGCAUUAAUUUUACGUUAACUGAGAAUAAAACAAAAAAUUGUGUAAACUGUAUAAAAAAAAAAUAAGAACAAAACAAAAAAAGAAGAAAACGAAUCAAUUUUGUUUCAUUUGUCGCAUUACUUGAAGUGGAUCCAACCCAACCCAAUGCAUUUGCUAAUUAGAAUUUAUAGCUAUGUAACACAGUGAAAACCCGACAACUAGCACCUACUAUAUACGAUAUGUGUAUGUAUAUGUAUGGACAAUAUUUGAGAUUAAAACCACACACCACACAAUUCUUCAAGUUUGUAUUAGAGUACAGGUAAAAUGACAGCGUUCCAUGGAAGUGAAAAACCUUUGGAUGCCACUUAUAUUUAACCAUUUGAAUAUUAACCAAAUAUGUAUGGGAUAUAAACCUAUAAAAUUGGUAAGAAUCUAUGGGGACAUUUUUGAAACUAGAAUUGGUCAAGAUUGGUAGAUUAAACCAUAAAAAUGAUCGCGCUCAGGUUAUAAAUUGUAAAAAUUAAAAACACUCCUAUAUAUACGAAAUAAUUCUAUAAUUCGCAUAACAUAAAGAUAACCAUAUAAAUGUAUGUUUAACACGUUUAACAAAAGGCUGUUUGUAGAAAUUGUGACACAGUUUUUUUAACCCGAACCCAUUACUAACCGAUGAUUAACCAACUCGAUGUGUAAAUGCAAAUGAAGAAUGAGAAAUCUUCGACUUAACAGUAAAUGUAGUUGCUUACACUUGCCAAAAAAAAUAUGGCUGCUUUUUGCACUUCGAGAAAAUUGUGUAAAUACUAAAGAAAAUGAUAAA